rnacentral:rRNA from 1 species
UACGGAGGGUGCAAGCGUUGCUCGGAAUCACUGGGCGUAAAGCGACCGCAGGCGGUCUGACAAGUCGGAUGCGAAAGCCCUGGGCUCAACUCAGGAAUUGCAUUCGAAACUGGCAGACUCGAGUACGGGAGAGGGGGGUGGAAUUCCUGGUGUAGGGGUGAAAUUCGUUGAUAUCAGGAGGAACACCGGCGGCGAAGGCGGCCCCCUGGCCCGCAACUGACGCUCAUGGUCGAAAGCGUGGGGAGCAAACAGG